UACAUGGGGUGCAAACGUUGCUCGGAAUCAUUGGGCGUAAAGCGCGCGCAGGUGGUUUCUUAAGUCUGAUGUGAAAGCCCACGGCUCAACCGUGGAGGGUCAUUGGAAACUGGGGAACUUGAGUGCAGGAGAGAAGAGUGGAAUUCCACGUGUAGCGGUGAAAUGCGUAGAGAUGUGGAGGAACACCAGUGGCGAAGGCGACUCUUUGGCCUGUAACUGACACUGAGGCGCGAAAGCGUGGGGAGCAAACAGG
rnacentral:rRNA from 1 species